GUUUAUUUUAGGCAAGUGCUGUAGCAACUAUGUGGUGAAGGAAUGUGUAGGUGCACUGCACCCGGCGUCAGGAUCGGAGUGGUGCAUCCGGAAGGGUGUGCGGAGCUGUCUGGGCUGAGCUUACUGGGAGUUCACCUAGCCCCACCCACCGGGAAAGCUCUCUGCCCCAUCCCCAACCAUCCUUAAUAAUCAAGAGCACUAAGGUAGUCCUUACGGCAAGAAAAUGACAAAAAAGGAGUUGUGUCAUGAAGUACGCUUAGGAAACAAGGCCCUGCUCCCCGGGAAGCCCUAGGCCAUUAGCUCCAGUUUCCCUCUUCCUCACUCCCACUCGGAAGGAAAGAGAGAAGUUCUUCGCAGAUACACCGUCACGUUGGUUCAUCAAAGCCAUUCUGAUCACGCGACUCCCUGGCCAGACCAGCCCUUGUUUCUUUUUGUUUUUGUUUGUUUGUUUGAACCCUCACCCGAGGAUAUUUUCCCCAUUGAUUUUUAGAGAGAGGGAGGGAGGAAGGGAGGGAGAGAGGAACAUCAAUA